UGUAUAAAAACUUCACCCAUUUGUAUUGUUAAAAAGUGACUUGGCCAACGGAAUAACCCGAUAAUGAUACUUGACGUAUCAUUUGCACCUCAAGCUAAUGUAUAGGGACAAGUUUUUAACAGUAGAAAUGAAUUGAAUUUUUAAUA
rfam:Gossypium raimondii Chr02_contig_1396, whole genome shotgun sequence.